CCGCUUCAAAUGUGGGACUUUAACCCCUCGUCUUCUUUGAUCUCCUCUUAUCCAUGCACUAUGAGAAUGUCUCCUUAGGGCCUUCGAAAUUGACUCAGGGAGAUGGGCGUCAAUGGCUCACCUCGACAAUGCAACUAUGGGAAAGAUUCCGCUUGAACUCGAAGGCGGGUUCAUGCGAAGAAAAGAUACAUGAAUUAAUAUACGUUCGCAAGAAUUCUAAUUCACAUAACACAUAUAGACAUAUGAACUAUGAAAGCACCUAAAUACAUAAAUUCUAGGAUUAUAAGAUUACAACACUUGCGGGCUCAUAGUUAAUGAUUAAAUCAAUUAUAACACUCCACAAAUGAACUCACACUUCAUAAACCCAAAUUAUUUGCACAUGAAUGUAUGCUUUGGUCAUUUCUAAACAAAUGAGUACAAAACACAUAGUAUCCAAACUAAUGCACCAUAAUUAGGAUGAACAAUGAAAAAAAAUAAUAUACAAAACUUAAGAUAUAUAGAGACUAAUUUAUUAUGCUCAAAUAUAUGAACUCUGACUUGAUAGAUACUUACAGUCAUACAGUAAACAAACUAUGAAUACAUUCGAUGCUUUAUUCUUAACAAUGUGAAUCAUUCAGCAUAUCAAUAACUCAGUUGUCACUUACAAUAAGAUGAACUAGAACUCUCAAAUAUGCAAACAUACCACCUAUGAUCGAUUAAGGCAUACGAAUAAUUAAACUUAAAAUUCUAGUCACAUGGGCUUUGUAAAUACAUACUGUAAAAGGAAAAAAUAAUUACAACAGUCAUGAUAGAAAAUAAGCAAGUCAUGACAUCUAAUCAUAUUCAAAUGAACAACCUUCAAUAUGCAGGUACAAAACAUGUUAGUGUAUAAUUCUAUUAACUUGAAUGAUGCAAUUAAAUGGAGUAAACUUCGUACACUAAAAAAGGGGGUCAAAUGCCGGAAUCUGUAGACGAUGCUAGUUCAGGACUAGGGAAGUAUAAAGAAAUGCAAAUCACUGAAGCAUUUUCUCAACCAGAAUAAGGCAAGAUGACUAAAUCAAAGAAACCAAAGAAGGUCAUGCUUAAAUAGAGAACACAACUAAUUUUAUCCCCAUACUAAAUCAAACAUGAAGUCGUAAUUUUCUAUGAAUCAAAUGACACCAAAAUAUGAUAUUUUCAUGUUACUAGAAACAAAAGAGAACAGUUUGCAGGUUAUUUUGAGAACUUCAUGCCUAAACAUCACCACGCAAUCUAGCCCAAAAGACUGAAUGGACACAAAAAUAGAAGCAAAAAUGACAUAUAAACGCAAAAUCCAUCCGACAGGAGAUAUUCAAAAAAAUAGACAGUCGUGAUGCUCCAUUCCCGUGAUGAAGAAAAAUCAGACUAUUCUCUAAAUGGACAUAUUUGGAUGCACAAUUAUUGUGUUUAUCUCUCUAACCCGACCACAUACUGAAAAAAAGCUCUAGAGAGACAAAAAGAGGUAGAAAUUCCAAUCCACAUAUGCGAAGACAUAGCAAAUAAAGCUAAAGGGGAAGUGAUGGGGCAUUAUUAUCAACAUCAUCCUCUUUCUGACAAACUAAAAAUAAAUUUUGAUAGCCAGAAUGGUCAUCGACGAAUCAUAGGAUUUGCUAGGUUUUAUUAGAUGUAUCCUCAUUAUUAUUUAUCAUUUGAGAAGCCGAAGAAAUCAAGAGGAAGUCCUGCUAACAUUAAGCUAAUAACGACAAACAAGUUGAUGAUAAAUACUAACAAUGAACAAAACACCCUCAGCCCAAAAUCAUUAAACAAGAUCGAAGCAAAAAGGUUUUAACAAUGAGGCCAACUACAACAAAGCACCAUCAACCCAAAAUGGUCAAAGCACGAAACUUUAACAUAAAAUCAGCUAUAACAAGAUACCAUCAACUCGAAACUAACAAAGUACAAAAUUUUAACAUAGAAUUAGCUAUAAUAGGAUACCAUCAACAUGAAAAAACUAUUAAACAAACUCAAAGCAUGAAACUUUAC
rnacentral:lncRNA from 1 species